UACUUUGGACAAUGGAAUAUGAGUGAUAAUGGCCAGUACUCAAUUUAUCAUCCUCCACCAAUCUCUCUCUCUGUUUUUAAUCAGCCGAAGAGAACAGACAAGUUCUCAAUAGUGGCUGCUCCAUCUGCCUGGGUCUGAGAGUAAAGGGAAUAGUAGGCCUCCUAGGGAGAGGAGGGUGGAUGGAAUUAGAGGUGUCAACCAUGUUAGCUUGUUUCAGGUGCGAGAUAGCAGAAGGAAUGAACAUAAGCUGUAACACUUCUCUGGGGCUCAGAUCUUGGGACUCCCUGAACAAAAGCUGUAACACCCCUUGGGGCCCUG
rnacentral:lncRNA from 10 species